GAUGAACGCUAGCGGGAGGCUUAACACAUGCAAGUCGAGGGGCAGCACGAUGUAGCAAUACGUUGGUGGCGACCGGCGCACGGGUGAGUAACACGUAUGUAACCUACCCUGUACAGGGGGAUAACCCGGAGAAAUUCGGACUAAUACCCCAUGAUGAUAUUUAUGGGCAUCCAUUGAUAUUUAAAGCUCUGGCGGUACAGGAUGGGCAUGCGCGACAUUAGCUAGUUGGUAAGGUAACGGCUUACCAAGGCCACGAUGUUUAGGGGACCUGAGAGGGUUGUCCCCCACACUGGUACUGAGACACGGACCAGACUCCUACGGGAGGCAGCAGUGAGGAAUAUUGGUCAAUGGGCGCAAGCCUGAACCAGCCAUCCCGCGUGAAGGAAGAAUGCGCUACGCGUUGUAAACUUCUUUUCCAGGGGGAGAAUAAUCCUGUCGUGACAGGACUUGACGGUACUCUGGGAAUAAGCAUCGGCUAACUCCGUCCAGCAGCCGCGGUAAA
rnacentral:rRNA from 1 species